rnacentral:lncRNA from 1 species
GACUGACUUCCUAUUUUGCAGAUAGGAAAACUGAGGCAUAGCGAUGUAAGUUAUCUGGAGCAAAGCCACAGAGAGAGGGUUCGUGGGGCUGGAAUUCCAUCCCUGGUCUGUCCGGCUUCCCGACCCGUGAUCUCUAGGAGGACGAAGAUAACAACCACACAGAUCAGAGCAGAGAGGAGAAAAUGAGCUGGUGCUGCAGGCUGAAGGAUGAAGUCACUCCAGUUGGGGUGGAUUUGGAGGGGCCUUCCAUGCAUCUUUCCAUCUCCAGCGCUCACCAAAAUGCCUGGCACACAGCAGGUGCUCACUAAAUGAAAAUGCAAUUUGAGUUGAACAAAGUAAGC